rnacentral:rRNA from 1 species
AACGAACGCUGGCGGCAUGCCUAACACAUGCAAGUCGAACGAGACCUUCGGGUCUAGUGGCGCACGGGUGCGUAACGCGUGGGAACCUGCCCUUAGGUUCGGAAUAACUCCCCGAAAGGGGUGCUAAUACCGGAUAAUGUCUUCGGACCAAAGAUUUAUCGCCUUUGGAUGGGCCCGCGUUGGAUUAGCUAGUUGGUAGGGUAAAAGCCUACCAAGGCGACGAUCCAUAGCUGUUCUGAGAGGAUGAUAAGCCACACUGGGACUGAGACACGGCCCAGACUACUACGGGAGGAAGCAGUGGGGAAUAUUGGAGAAUGGGCGAAAGCCUGAUAAAGCAAUGCCGCGUGAGUGAUGAAGGCGUUAGGGUUGUAAAGCUCUUUUAACAGGGAUGAUAAUGACAGUACCGGGAGAAUAAGCGCCGGCUAACUCCGUG